rnacentral:sRNA from 1 species
AGCCUCCCCAAGGGCCCCAUCCUUCUGUCUCCCAGCAGCCUCUUCUCUGCCCUCCACAGGUAACCACCCCUACACAUACAAGCCCGUGGCCCCCUGGUGGGGAGAGGCAGGCCCACUGCCAGGCCAGCCUUAGCAGGCUGGCAUUAAGCUCUCAGGUGGCAAGGAGGGUGGGGUCAGACCCCCAUCACCUGAGCCUGCCAUCCCCUCUGGCUUCUUCCCUACUUUGGCCCCCUUCCCUGCUGUGGUUCUGGCCACCCCAGAGAGGUGAUCGAGAAGAAACCAGAGGUAUUCAAGGUCGCCUGCCUGAGUGACAUCCAGCAGCUGUUUCUGCCCCACGGACAGCCCUUCUAUGCUGCCUUUGGGAAUAGGCCCAACGAUGUCUUUGCCUACCGGCAGGUGGGCCUGCCUGAGUCACGCAUUUUCACAGUCAACCCCCGGGGAGAGCUCAUCCAGGAGCUCAUAAAGAACCACAAAUCCACGUAUGAGCGGCUUGGUGAAGUGGUCGAGCUCCUCUUCCCACCUGUGGCCCGUGGCCCCAGCACAGACCUGGCCAACCCUGAAUACAGUAACUUCUGCUACUGGCGGGAGCCACUGCCUGCUGUGGACCUUGAUACCCUGGACUGAACCUGCCCUGGCUGGCUCCUCCUCCCU